rnacentral:rRNA from 1 species
AAUUCGAUGCAACGCGAAAACCUUACCCACCUUUGACAUGUACGGAACUUGCCAGAGAUGGCUUGGUGCUCGAAAGAGAGCCGUAACACAGGUGCUGCAUGGCUGUCGUCAGCUCGUGUCGUGAGAUGUUGGGUUAAGUCCCGCAACGAGCGCAACCCUUGUCAUUAGUUGCUACAUUCAGUUGGGCACUCUAAUGAGACUGCCGGUGACAAGCCGGAGGAAGGUGGGGAUGACGUCAAGUCCUCAUGGCCCUUAUAGGUGGGGCUACACACGUCAUACAAUGGCCGGUACAAAGGGACGCCAACCCGCGAGGGGGAGCCAAUCCAAUAAAGCCGGUCGUAGUCCGGAUCGCAGUCUGCAACUCGACUGCGUGAAGUCGGAAUCGCUAGUAAUCGUGAAUCAGAAUGUCACGGUGAAUACGUUCCCGGGCCUU